GAGGAACAUCCUGAAGCUCUCCAUCCAAAAAUAUAUUAAUGUAAAAGAAAAGUGGAAUAAAGUAGAAUAUCGUCCUCUGGAGUGUCGCAGUAGAGUUUCAGUUGCAGCUCCUCUCAGAUAAGAUCUGUAGAUCUGAUGUUCCUCAGAUAAGGUUCAUCUGUGAGAUCGGUGUUGGAGAACUCCAGCCCUGUUCCUGCGUGAGAUCAGACCUGCUGGAGGAGAAGAAGCAGCUGUGGCUCGGCGUCUGUCAUCGCUUUAAAAAACUUUCCUCCAGAUCUCACACCUGCCUGCUGUUUCCUCAUAAACCACCCUGGAACCCUGUGCUGGACCGAGCAGGUGAUUUACGACUUUAAUUAGA
ensembl:lncRNA